ensembl:lncRNA
CUCCCUCAGAUGGUAAAACAGGAGCCUAGAACUACACAACUCAAACCAGGAAUCAUAUUCGAAGCCGCAGAGACAGGAAGGUUCUUGCUAUUGGAGGACCUUUUAAACGCCACCAAAGUCAAUGCCAUACAUUUAGCCAAUGGGACACUGUUACAAGUUGCUACCAAACACGGGCAGCUAUCAAUCAUCAAGCUCCUCUUCCGCUGUGGGGCCAUGCUGGACGUGAGGGACGGCGAGGUUUGGACACCCCUGCACAGGGCAGCCUUCAGGGGCUAAGGUAGCCAGGGCCCUAAUCAAGGCUAGGGCCCCCAUCUACGCCCUGGAUAAACACUCUAUGACUGCCCUCCUCCUGGCUGCCAAGAAUGACCACCUUAGUAUAGACAGAGCCCUAGUGGAGGAAGAGAGAGAAGGAACCAGCAAGAGCUCAAAAAAAAACUGACCCAGACUCAAGGGUCAAUCCUCCAUCUUGCAGCCAGGGAAGAUGACUAGAAGAUGGUUGAGGUACUCCUCCAGAGUGGGGCCCCUGUGGAUAACCAUAAGAUAAACGCCCUAUUCCAUGUGGUCAGCCGAGGAUUUGAGAGGAACACAACCGUCACCCUGAAGGGCAUGCUCACGGUGCUCUGAGUGUGUACACCCUGGUUUCUGCUCUGUUCCCUGCUGUGAGGAAGAACCUGGAUGGGGUUGUAACUGCUCUGGUGGACAGUGGGGAAGAUGUCAACAUGUGUGCACACUCCUCUGCUGAUGUCAGCUGACCUGGGACACACUGAGACAUUCAGAGUGCUAGCUGCCAAACAGUCCAGUGUGGGUGCUACCCUCCCAACCUCUCCUCAGCCCAACACCUGGCUGGCCAGAUUGGGAGUGAGGUCAUAACCCAGACCCUGCUGUAGAUGGGCUCAGACCCCAACACCCCAGGGCCUAUAGCCAAUGCCAACAUAACACGUCUACUAUAGUGGGAUUACAGCUAAAAGCAGGAGCUCAGUUGUCUUGAAAGCAUCAUAGAUCCAGA